rnacentral:lncRNA from 1 species
GCUAUUAAUUCAUGCCUGGGUGAUUUCAUUCACAGAUCCUGUUCACGUGGUCGUGAAGUAGCACCGGGCUCCUCUGAAGUUCUCCAGUGUGCUGGGUCAUUAUGUUCCCUAACAAGGUCAAGAUUGUCUGCUACUUUUUUUUUUUUAACCCUGCUUCACCUGGCAAACUUUAUUCAUGUGUCAUCCUAUUUUGCAAAACCCUAAGAAGCUUGCAAAGCUUGAGCUGUUCUGGACUGAAGCUGUCAGACAUAUAUUCACGGACUGUAUGCCCUGGCUCACUGAAUUGCAUGGUAGAGUUUGCCAAGUGGGUCAGAACUAGGGAAAAAAAAAUUGUUGGAAGGAAGUGCUAGUUUUCCUAACUUUGAUCAGGGUGACUGUAAGCACACGAGAAAGCGUCUCUAAUUUUAAAUGCACCCUGGAAGUCAUUAACUUGUUAUUAAGUGAAGACAGGGCAAUGAUUAUCCUGGUCAGAUAAAUGCCUAAGAGUGGACCGGUUCCUUUCCUUCGCAUUUCACCUGUCUAGCCAGCGUGUGGCGCUGUCUCCUAUUAAAAGCCGCUCUUGACCUUGCAAACCUUCUCUCCAAAUCUCUUGGUAUUUAUACAGCUCAAUGUAAAUUUCAAGGGGCUUGAAAACAUCAGAGCAGAAAAACCCACUUAAGACUUUGAACAGAACACGGUUUCAAUCAUUCUCAAGAGCACCUGUCGCUUUCCUUCCAUAUUUAAGAAUGAAACGCAGAAUAAAGACAUGCUCGUUGGAGUUCUGUUAGAGGACAAAGCUAAGAAAUUCACAAAAUUUGAGGCAUGAACUUCACUGAAAACUGUAUCUUGCUUUUCACUUGAAAAUAAGCUACUCAGAAGUGAGAAGUGCAUUUUUUUUUAGUUAGUUAUAUCAUUUAAGAUUUUGUUCAAUUUCGGUAAGUUUCUUAAAAUUCAUUUAUGCCUCUCCAAAUGUUUGUUUGGGGGUACGCCAGUAAUAUUUUGGUCUUGUCAAGAACCAAAAAUAUGCAAGUUAUUUUUCAUAUUUUAAACGGCUUCCCGCAUUUGACUAUUAAAUAGUAUUUCAUUUAUAACGAUUUGCAUGCUUUUUCUUCUCUAUCUAUAGCUCAUAUACAAUGUCAGACAUAGGAACUCUGACAGCCUUAUGGUUGCUUCUCCAAGUUGCAAUCAUUGGAAUUUGAGUAAAAUUUGGAAUUUGAGUGAAAUUAGUUGACUUCCUCGUCACUGAUUUUACAGGCAUCUGAUAUCCUUUGAAGCUACCUGAUUUCAGAAACACAACCCCGGGGCUUGGUCCAGCCUAUGCUGAGCAAAGCACUAAAAACACCAGAUGCCACCACAUGUGUUAAAAGUGACAAAUUCCCCUGGUGAGGCUCUGGGAGGCGAGACAGCCCUCCCGCAUGGAACUCUGAAACAUGGGACCGUGCAUUCCGAUAAUGUUGCAUGUUUUAGUAAUUAUUUUAGUCACAACUGCAGCCAGGUGUCAAUCUGGAGUCCCAAGUUUGCCUAGAAUAUGCUUUGGUCUCACUGCAGAACAAGCUCCAAGACAGAUUUAACACCAACUGACAGUGACCCCGGAUGAGCCGGUGGAUAAGGUCAGGAGAGAAAAUCUUGAACAGUAGCCGGAGUUUGAAACCAUAGGAUUUGACAAUCCUUGGUAUGUAUUUUCAAGAAAAGUUUAAAAUGUCUUUAAAAUAUUCUCUAAAGUGCA